GACGAACGCUGGCGGCGUGCCUAAUGCAUGCAAGUCGAGCGAAGUUUUUCUGGUGCUUGCACCGGAAAAACUUAGCGGCGAACGGGUGAGUAACACGUAAAGAACCUGCCUCAUAGACUGGGACAACUAUUGGAAACGAUAGCUAAUACCGGAUAACAGCAUUAACUGCAUGGUUGAUGUUUAAAAGUUGGUUUUGCUAACACUAUGAGAUGGCUUUGCGGUGCAUUAGCUAGUUGGUGGGGUAAAGGCCUACCAAGGCGACGAUGCAUAGCCGACCUGAGAGGGUGAUCGGCCACACUGGGACUGAGACACGGCCCAGACUCCUACGGGAGGCAGCAGUAGGGAAUCUUCCGCAAUGGGCGAAAGCCUGACGGAGCAACGCCGCGUGAGUGAAGAAGGAUUUCGGUUCGUAAAGCUCUGUUGUUAGGGAAGAAUGAUUGUGUAGUAACUAUACACAGUAGAGACGGUACCUAACCAGAAAGCCACGGCUAACUACGUG
rnacentral:rRNA from 1 species